UACGUGGGGUGCAAGCGUUAAUCGGAAUUACUGGGCGUAAAGCGUGCGCAGGCGGUUAUGCAAGACAGAGGUGAAAUCCCCGGGCUCAACCUGGGAACUGCCUUUGUGACUGCAUAGCUAGAGUACGGUAGAGGGGGAUGGAAUUCCGCGUGUAGCAGUGAAAUGCGUAGAUAUGCGGAGGAACACCGAUGGCGAAGGCAAUCCCCUGGACCUGUACUGACGCUCAUGCACGAAAGCGUGGGGAGCAAACAGG
rnacentral:rRNA from 1 species